UGCUUUACAUGAUGUGCCCGAAAACUUAAAUAGAAUAAGUAAAUAUACUCAAGGGAGUGAUGAUCAGUUUCGAAGUUUGUCUGGUAUAGUUGAGCCACAUACCCCAGCUGAGGAAGAAUACGAUUAUGGAGAUAUUACUGGAUAUGCUUAUGAGAGUGUUCAACUUCCGAGUAAUAAUAACUUACAUGAGUCUACAUCUGGAAUUAUGUCAAAGUUACUCGUAACUGAUUUGUAUAAAAAUAGUAAAAACGGAUACGAAAAUUUUCAAAGAGAUUCCACGUCUCAUUACGAAGAAAAUCCCGAGCGUCUAAAUUCUUUAGCCGAUCUAUCGAAACAUAAGAGAGAAAUAAACUUUAAGGACAUUACGGAUAUUGCACUUACAACUUUGGCUUUUUUAUCGUUUGGAAUGUUUACUUUACAAGUGCUGAUGUGCAUAGUUAUGGUAACUACAACAUUUAAAUAUUAUUGAUAAGCCUAUACUAAAGGAAAAUUAAAAAGAAUGAUUUAAUCUAUCUCUUAUUAUGUUUAUUGUACUGUAUGUAUCUAAGCGGUAGAAAAGUACAAAGUAUAAGCUCAUCGGUAGAGUUUCAUCCUGGGAAUAACAAGUGAUAAAUCGACCAUGUUAUAUACAAGCCAAACAAAAAACUAAAAAAAAUAAUUAAAAAAAUAAAUGAAAAACCGU